UUUUAAAGAGCACCUAUUAUGAGAUACACGUUUUUAAACAUCCUUUUGUGUGUAAGUGUGUAUUAGUACAUGCUAACGAUAUUCAAAAAGUACAUACCUCAAAGAAAACGAUGACGCGAGUUAUCGUCUCUAACGUUCGAGGACUACAAAAAACACUCGGAUUGUAGGCAACAGUUUACUUCCUGGGAUUGGUGACGUAGAUAAGACCAACAUUAUCAUAGUUCAGCCCUCUCUGCUUGGCUUGGGUACGCCCUCAAAGACGGGGGUGGAGAGCGCUGAGUCAGAAGAGAGCUAAAAUGGCGGAGGUUGGGAGUCCCUGCUUUGACCCUGUUUGCAAACUCUUGUUUCAUUGUUUAAGCGAUUAAAUCUCUCGAGUAGACGCUGUCUCUUUAGAUGCAAGGGCAAAAUAGCACUUUAUGGACUAACACAGAGGACAUCAUGUUUAAUACGGUUCCGGAAAAAUCCAGUCAGAAGUUGUUCACGGAGUUUUCACAAUAACUGCUUCUCAUGAACCAAAGCUGCGCGACGUCUCCUCCUGAAAGUUGGAUUACCGUGCACUUCUGGAUCACAGGCUAUUCGCAGCUGGACACAUCCUUCUACACUGUAUGCAAACAUGCAACAUCAUUACACACAGUACAAGGCAUAUGAGGAGCAAAGGAACCCAGGCAGUAGCAUCGUUUCACAAUGUUUCAAUCACCAUCAUCAGUGGAUGCCUUUGCCGUCCGUAGCCUGAGAUUUCAGAUUUGCAGCAAAAAAUGUGACUUUCCCAUUUAUUGGAAUGCUGUGCAGGUUGUACCUUGCAGCCAUCCAUUACAAUGUCACCAAGCCAUAACAAAAGCAGGAGAGGGAAAGUACAAGGCUAUGUUCCCAAAACACACAAGUUACAUACUUUAUGUGGAUGAUGUGAU